GGGCAGGUGCACGGUCCUCUUAUCUGCCGUCCGCCGUGAGAUGAGAGCUGUAGGGCUGCUAGUUCACAGGCAGGUAAAGGGGAAACCGAAAACUACAGUGUGGAGUGCGUCCUUAGGCGAGUGGUCAGCAGACCACCCCCUAGCUGCGCAGCAGUCUUAGAGAAACAGAAAUGGCAACUUCUCUCAUUUCUGUUGUAAGAGAAGCUGCUACUUGGGAAGGGCACUUCGGAGCUGCAGGUAACGCGUGAUUUCUAAGGAAGGUGUCGUGUGACGGUGGUCUCUCGGAGGUCGGAGCUGCCCACCAGGAGCAGAGCGGGCACCCAGCAGCCGAAUGAGCGCCGCAAAUGGCUGCUGCUGCUUUCUCCACUUGGCAGCCACGGGGAGUGAGGGGACGGCCUCACAGCCUCGAUACAGCGUCCUUUUGCCAGACCAGCCUCAGCUUUGAUGAAAGGAUUCAGAAAUGAAAUUACCAGCCCAAGUUCACAAGAGAUCUGUGGCAGACAUUCACAGUUUCCCAGCAGAAAAUUGCCUCAUGCAGCACAGCAGCAAUACUAUCACUAUGCCAGCUAGAAGAAGCUGGCGGGACUACCUAGCAGGUGAAGGCAGCCUCUGAGAGGCAUAUGUAAAGGGGCCUAUUUCUCUUUCACAGAAUCACAGAACUGUAAGGUUUGGAUGGGACCUCUGGACAUAGGAGUUCAAACCUCUGCUAAAGCAGAUUCCCUACAGCAGGUCACAGAGGCAGAUGACCAGAUGUUUCUUGACUAUCUCCAGAGAAGGAGACUCCUCAACCUCUCUUGGCAGCCUGUUCCACAGCUCUCUCAACCCCACAGUGAAGUUCUUUACUGAUGCCCAUUUGUGGCAAAGGGAACAAGUGGUCAUGGGCAGAUGGAAGAUGCCUGACAUCCAAACCCACAGAUCGCUGAGCUAGUCUUCAGUGAAAGUAGUCUUCUGAAAUGAGAACUGGCGAUGAACUAGAGUGAGCUCAAUUCCAAAGGUUUGGUUAACCACCUAAGACAUUGGCUUUCCUUCAGAAGUUAUUUGCUAAUGUGGUUUUAAAGUGUUUGUCAAUAAAUGAUUCUCACUUUAUGGCUUGAGACCUGAACUGAAACAGUAAAAACAACCAAAGAAACAGGUGCAGAAUUGUUUUAAAUAGUUUUAAAAGGAAAACAAAACAAA